rnacentral:rRNA from 1 species
UACAGAGGUCUCAAGCGUUGUUCGGAAUCACUGGGCGUAAAGGGCGCGUAGGCGGCCAUCUAAGUCAGACGUGAAAUCCCCCGGCUUAACCUGGGAACUGCGUCUGAUACUGGAAGGCUUGAGUAUGGGAGAGGGAUGUAGAAUUCCAGGUGUAGCGGUGAAAUGCGUAGAUAUCUGGAGGAAUACCGGUGGCGAAGGCGGCAUCCUGGACCAUUACUGACGCUGAGGCGCGAAAGCUAGGGGAGCAAACGGG